UACGAAGGGGGCUAGCGUUGCUCGGAAUCACUGGGCGUAAAGGGUGCGUAGGCGGGUCUUUUAAGUCAGGGGUGAAAUCCCGGAGCUCAACUCCAGAACUGCCUUUGAUACUGAGGAUCUUGAGUUCGGGAGAGGUGAGUGGAACUGCGAGUGUAGAGGUGAAAUUCGUAGAUAUUCGCAAGAACACCAGUGGCGAAGGCGGCUCACUGGCCCGAUACUGACGCUGAGGUGCGAAAGCGUGGGGAGCAAACAGG
rnacentral:rRNA from 1 species